rnacentral:rRNA from 1 species
UACGAAGGGGGCUAGCGUUGCUCGGAAUCACUGGGCGUAAAGGGUGCGUAGGCGGGUCUUUAAGUCAGGGGUGAAAUCCUGGAGCUCAACUCCAGAACUGCCUUUGAUACUGAAGAUCUUGAGUUCGGGAGAGGUGAGUGGAACUGCGAGUGUAGAGGUGAAAUUCGUAGAUAUUCGCAAGAACACCAGUGGCGAAGUCGGCUCACUGGCCCGGUACUGACGCUGAGGUGCGAAAGCGUGGGGAGCAAACAGG